rnacentral:rRNA from 1 species
CGGGGGCCCGCACAAGCAGCGGAGCAUGUGGCUUAAUUCGACGCAACGCGAAGAACCUUACCAAGGCUUGACAUAUACCGGAAAGCAUCAGAGAUGGUGCCCCCCUUGUGGUCGGUAUACAGGUGGUGCAUGGCUGUCGUCAGCUCGUGUCGUGAGAUGUUGGGUUAAGUCCCGCAACGAGCGCAACCCUUGUUCUGUGUUGCCAGCAUGCCCUUCGGGGUGAUGGGGACUCACAGGAGACUGCCGGGGUCAACUCGGAGGAAGGUGGGGACGACGUCAAGUCAUCAUGCCCCUUAUGUCUUGGGCUGCACACGUGCUACAAUGGCCGGUACAAUGAGCUGCGAUGCCGCGAGGCGGAGCGAAUCUCAAAAAGCCGGUCUCAGUUCGGAUUGGGGUCUGCAACUCGACCCCAUGAAG